rnacentral:rRNA from 1 species
GCCGCGUGAGUGAAGAAGGCCUUCGGGUUGUAAAACUCUUUCAGCAAUGAAGAUAAUGACAUUAAUUGCAGAAGAAGCCCCGGCUAACUUCGUGCCAGCAGCCGCGGUAAUACGAAGGGGGCUAGCGUUGUUCGGAAUCAUUGGGCGUAAAGCGUAUGUAGGCGGAUCAAAAAGUUAGAUGUGAAAGCCCUGGGCUCAACCCAGGAAUUGCGUUUAAAACUAGUGAUCUAGAAUUUGGUAGGGGUUAGUAGAAUUUCCAGUGUAGAGGUGAAAUUCGUAGAUAUUGGAAAGAAUACCAGUGGCGAAGGCGACUAACUGGGCCAUUUUUGACGCUAAGAUACGAAAGCGUGGGUAGCAAACAGGAUUAGAUACCCUGGUAGUCCACGCAGUAAACGAUGAGUGCUAGUCGCUGGGACAUUAGUUUCAGUGUCGAAGCUAACGCAUUAAGCACUCCGCCUGGGAAGUACGGUCGCAAGAUUAAAACUCAAAUAAAUUGACGGGGGCCCGCACAAGUGGUGGAGCAUGUGGUUUAAUUCGAAGCAACGCGAAGAACCUUACCAGACCUUGACAUGGUGUGUUUAAAUUACAGAAUCGUAAUUUUUCAGUUCGGCUGGCACACACACAGGUGCUGCAUGGCUGUCGUCAGCUCGUGUCGUGAGAUGUUGGGUUAAGUCCCGCAACGAGCGCAACCCUCAU